UGCUAUCAGACACUAGCCAGUCUCUCAAG
rnacentral:piRNA from 1 species